AGUGAACGCUGGCGGUAGGCCAACACAUGCAAGUCGAACGGCAGCACAGUAAGAGCUUGCUCUUACGGGUGGCGAGUGGCGGACGGGUGAGGAAUACAUCGGAAUCUACUUUUUCGUGGGGGAUAACGUAGGGAAACUUACGCUAAUACCGCAUACGACCUACGGGUGAAAGCAGGGGAUCUUCGGACCUUGCGCGAUUGAAUGAACCGAUGUCGGAUUAGCUAGUUGGCGGGGUAAAGGCCCACCAAGGCGACGACCCGUAGCUGGUCUGAGAGGAUGAUCAGCCACACUGGAACUGAGACACGGUCCAGACUCCUACGGGAGGCAGCAGUGGGGAAUAUUGGACAAUGGGCGCAAGCCUGAUCCAGCCAUACCGCGUGGGUGAAGAAGGCCUUCGGGUUGUAAAGCCCUUUUGUUGGGAAAGAAAAGCAGCAGGUUAAUACCCCGCUGUUCUGACGGUACCCAAAGAAUAAGCACCGGCUAACUUCGUG
rnacentral:rRNA from 1 species